CUGGGUUGGAUGAAUGGCGAACGGGUGAGUAACACGUGAGUAACCUGCCCUCUUCUUUGGGAUAACGGUCGGAAACGGCUGCUAAUACCGGGUAUUCACUGUCCUUCGCAUGGGGGGUGGUGGAAAGGUUUUUUCUGGUGGGGGAUGGGCUCGCGGCCUAUCAGCUUGUUGGUGGGGUGAUGGCUUACCAAGGCUUUGACGGGUAACCGGCCUGAGAGGGUGACCGGUCACAUUGGGACUGAGAUACGGCCCAG
rnacentral:rRNA from 1 species